rnacentral:ncRNA from 1 species
CUACCUUCAGUCCGUCGCUGCCAAUUCAGCGACCGGGCCUGAGAACUCGAAUC